UCCCAGUGAAGAAACAUUCACACGUCUUACUUCCUGUCCUAGUCCCAGAGCCUGUAAAGGUAAAGCAUUCUUGAAUUCCUGGGAU